rnacentral:lncRNA from 1 species
GUCAUUCUCCUCCCGAGCUCAAAUGAGCUUUGAUAGAAGUAAAUAUAUACACUGUGUUGUUUCAUUGCUACUUUCAGACUUUCAAAACUAGUAGGAACAGUACUGUCUAAUACUAAUACAACUACGCUCGCGACCUAGAGUAGCAAAUCACAAGGUGGCGCCACUCUGAACUCUCCAUCCACGAGCCGUGGUCUGGCCGGGCAGCGAGUAAAACUGAGAAGAAGAAAAAGAAGACGACCCUGCGGGUGUCGCUAGAACCUAGAGGUGGUGGGCAGGGACGAGGCCGUCGUCGAAGUUCUGGGAGUAGCUCUUGAGGUUGUACCCGAAGCUCAGGUCGCGGCGCUUCGGCCGCAGCACGGUGCGCCUCACCCUCCAGAACAGCUGACGCACCGGCGCCGGCGCCUGCCGCCACGACCUGCCGCCGUUCUUCCAGUCCAUCCUCUUCCCGGUGCCAAUGCUCCUCGUCAUGUGGAACGAUCCUCCCACAGACUCCAUUGGUCCUUGAUGAGUUGAUGCGGACGCGACCUGACAGUUGAUUAAACACGUACGCCUCUGCUGCUCUUGUGCAGCUUACGUAGCUCUUCUUCGAUGAUUAUGUAGCUUCUGAUCGAACGCAUCGGUUUUGC